rnacentral:rRNA from 1 species
CCUACGGGUGGCUGCAGUGGGGAAUAUUGCACAAUGGGCGCAAGCCUGAUGCAGCCAUGCCGCGUGUGUGAAGAAGGCCUUCGGGUUGUAAAGCACUUUCAGCGGGGAGGAAGGCGUUAAGGUUAAUAACCUUGUCGAUUGACGUUACCCGCAGAAGAAGCACCGGCUAACUCCGUGCCAGCAGCCGCGGUAAUACGGAGGGUGCAAGCGUUAAUCGGAAUUACUGGGCGUAAAGCACACGCAGGCGGUCUGUCAAGUCGGAUGUGAAAUCCCCGGGCUCAACCUGGGAACUGCAUUCGAAACUGGCAGGCUAGAGUCUUGUAGAGGGGGGUAGAAUUCCAGGUGUAGCGGUGAAAUGCGUAGAGAUCUGGAGGAAUACCGGUGGCGAAGGCGGCCCCCUGGACAAAGACUGACGCUCAGGUGCGAAAGCGUGGGGAGCAAACAGGAUUAGAUACCCGUGUAGUC